AACGAACGCUGGCGGCGCGUCUUAAGCAUGCAAGUCGAACGGCAAGAGAGGAGCUUGCUUCUCUCCUAGAGUGGCGGACUGGUGAGGAACACGUGGGUAAUCUACCCUUAAGAUGGGGAUAGCUGCUAGAAAUAGCAGGUAAUACCGAAUACACUCGGCAUAUCACAAGAGGUGUUGAGGAAAGGAAGCUACGGCUUCGCUUGAGGAUGAGCUUGCGUCCCAUUAGCUAGUUGGUGAGGUAAAGGCCCACCAAGGCGACGAUGGGUAUCCGGCCUGAGAGGGUGAACGGACACAUUGGGACUGAGAUACGGCCCAAACUCCUACGGGAGGCAGCAGCUAAGAAUAUUCCGCAAUGGACGGAAGUCUGACGGAGCGACGCCGCGUGGAUGAAGAAGGCUGAAAAGUUGUAAAAUCCUUUUGUUGAUGAAGAAUAAGGGUGAGAGGGAAUGCUCAUCUGAUGACGGUAAUCGACGAAUAAGCCCCGGCUAAUUACG
rnacentral:rRNA from 1 species